CAGCAGCCGCGGUAAUACGUAGGGGGCGAGCGUUGUUCGGAUUUACUGGGCGUAAAGCGCGCGUAGGCGGUUCGGCCAGUCGGCGGUGAAAGCCCUCGGCUCAACCGAGGUCCCGCCGCCGAGACUGCCGAACUUGAGGGCAGGAGAGGAGAGCGGAAUUCCCAGUGUAGCGGUGAAAUGCGUAGAGACUGGGAGGAACACCGGUGGCGAAGGCGGCUCUCUGGACUGCCCCUGACGCUGAGGCGCGAAAGCUAGGGGAGCAAACGGGAUUAGAUACCCCGGUAGUCCUAGCCGUAAACGAUGGGCACUAGGUGUGGGAGGUAUCGACCCCUUCCGUGCCGCAGCUAACGCAUUAAGUGCCCCGCCUGGGGAGUACGGCCGCAAGGUUGAAACUCAAAGGAAUUGACGGGGGCCCGCACAAGCGGUGGAGCAUGUGGUUUAAUUCGACGCAACGCGAAGAACCUUACCAGGGCUUGACAUCCCGCGAACCCCGCCGAAAGGCGGGGGUGCCCGCAAGGGAGCGCGGAGACAGGAGGUGCAUGGCC
rnacentral:rRNA from 1 species